rnacentral:rRNA from 1 species
UACGUAGGAGGCAAGCGUUGUCCGGAUUUAUUGGGUUUAAAGGGUGCGUAGGCGGCCCUAUAAGUCAGUGGUGAAAGCCGACAGCUUAACUGUCGAACUGCCAUUGAAACUGUAGGGCUUGAGUACAAAUGAGGUAGGCGGAAUUGAUGAUGUAGCGGUGAAAUGCUUAGAUAUCAUCAAGAACACCGAUUGCGAAGGCAGCUUACUAAGAUGUAACUGACGCUGAGGCACGAAAGUGCGGGGAUCAAACAGG